rnacentral:rRNA from 1 species
UUUAUCCUACGGGACGCAGCAGUAGGGAAUCUUCCACAAUGGGCGAAAGCCUGAUGGAGCAACGCCGCGUGGGUGAAGAAGGUCUUCGGAUCGUAAAACCCUGUUGUUAGAGAAGAAAGUGCGUGAGAGUAACUGUUCACGUUUCGACGUUAUCUAACCAGAAAGCCACGGCUAACUCCGUGCCAGCAGCCGCGGUAAUACGUAGGUGGCAAGCGUUAUCCGGAUUCAUUGGCCGUAAACG